UAUGAUGGACAGCAUCCUCCCCUGCUGUGUGAUCUUUGGUCUCUUGGGGGCAGGUCACACAGAACCCAGAGUCAGACAAACUCCCAGCCAUGAGGUCACAAACAUAGGACAGAAUGUGAUUCUGAGGUGUUAUCCUAUUUCUAAUCACCAGUACAUCUACUGGUACCGACAGACUGCAAAAAGAGGAAUGGAGUUUAUGGUUUAUCUUUAUAACAAUAACACUAUGGAAAAGGCAGACUUUUUCAAGGAUCGAUUCUCUGCAGAGAUGCCCAAGGGGUCAUCUUCUAUCCUGAAGAUCCAGCCUGUGCAGCUGGGAGACUCGGCCAUGUAUCUCUGUGCCAGCAGCUUAGCCACAGCCUCACACAGACGUUUCCUGUCCCUACAUAAACUCAUUACCUUCCCUCUCCCCAGGCUCGAGCAGCCCUUCCUGCCUAUGCCCAGUGAAGACCGGAGUCAUUCAGACCCCCAGGCACAAGAUCUAAAGAAAAGAACAGCAAGUGACACUGAGAUGUUCCCCUUUGUCUGGGCACCAGAUUGUGUCCUGGUAUCAACAGGUUGUGGGUCAGAGCCUCCAGUUUCUCUUUGA